CAUAUUAUAUGUAUUUAUGUGAUCGCCAUGUGGAUUCACAGAAAACAUAAAUACAAGUUAUCUUAUAAUUAAAUAAAUUUAGUUCGCAAUUAAUAAAUAAAAUUGGGCACUUUAUUUAGGUAUAGACUAUAAUGAAUUCAUUGAAUGAUUUGUUUUAAUCAUGUAUGAAUUUAUUGAUGUAGUACGACUACGUUGAACAUGAUUACAUAUGAGAUUUAAUUAACUUUGUAAUAACUGUAAGACUUAUUAAAUCUCAUAGGUAUUGAUUUUACUGUAAUCUUAAUCUUGAGUUAAUUAUGAUUGUAAUUGUUAUUUCAUUUGACUUACCAAUGGACACGACACAUACUUGUAGUCAAGAUUACCCGGUAUCUUGGUGGGAGCAAUUAUGAGUAUUUGAGUUAUAGAUUAACAAUACAGAAUUUGUACAACACAUCUCUUGAUGGGUUUUCGGCACUUUAUCAUAGAAUUCUCUGACCAGAGUAUGUCAACAUAUUUAGUAUGUUGAAAAUGAUCAUUAGAGAAAACCAGUAAGUAUCAAAGAACAAGAUGUAAUUAAAUUGAUUGGACAGUUGAUAUAUUGAUUUAAUUAAUGAUGUGGUACAAAGAAUUGUGCAGUAAAGAAAUCAAUGUAGCUUGGGAUGAAUUAUUAUUUGAACAUACAAUUAUGGAGGUUAAUUCCAAUCUUAUAGUAGAGUAGAGUUCGAAUUAAAUGAUUAGACUUAUUUAAUUAUAGGCUUAAUUGUUGUGGCCAUUAUUGUAUGUUCUCUAGUAGACUAAUGAUCCCCGGGUUAGUUCAUUUAAUUGACUGCACCACAAUUGAAUUAAGAAGUAAGAUAACUAGCUAUUUGGGUCAAAAGCCUGAAUAUAUCAUUUAGUGAGAGGCUUCAUUUAAUUUGCUUGUUUGUAAGGGGCCUUAUGUUAUUUUAUAAGGUGGGCCCCUUAUAGAAAAAGGUGACUUUUGAUUUUUAUUAUUUGGAGUUUAGGGUUUUCACUAAAUAGAGAUAUAUAAAGGCUUAUUUUUUCUAAAAAAAGACAAAUGCUACAUUAUACAGAUCAGAAAAAAAUAUUUUUCUCUCUAAUUUUGAGAGAAAAAUUUUCUCCUCCUAGUUGCUUUUAGUGGUGAUAAAGGCACCCACACGUCAAGUGCAGAUCAAACUCGAGUCAUAACUUGGAAGAUUAUUUGGUGGCGGAUCGUGAUCUAACAUGAGUGGUGGUGACGAAUCGUGAUCUGGAAGCUUAAAUCACUUCAGCGGAAAAAGCAAAGAUUGUUCAUCUUCUCAUAUUUUCAAAGUACGAUUUUCAGAUUACGGAUUCUUAUAUAUUGUAUGAGAUCGAUCCUAAAUUUUUUUUUUAAAAAAAAAAAUUUCCCCAACAAAAAGUUAUGUGCCUUUACUUACUUACGUCUUUCACUUACUCAACAAAUUUAUCCUAAGAGUCAAAAGUUGCAUGCUAGUCACAUGCAAUUAUUUACCACAUGCAUGCACAUGUUCAACGACUUAUUCAUCCCAAUAAGUCCUAAGGCUCAGGUUACAACCAAGAAUUAAUUAAUUAAGCCUACAAAUUAAACACCAUGUUGAGUCAAACUUGAUUAGUUCUUGACAAAAAACCAAGAUUAUUGAACCAUGCAAAACACCAAAAUGAGACGAUCCUCACAAUUGAAGAGGAUCUCUCCAGCAACUAACAAAAUCUUGAAGUCAACGUAAUUUGUUGCUCUCAGUUAUGAAUAACUAGAAAAUAGAACAGCGCUUCACGCGGCUUUAAAAAAAAAUUAGUAUUAUCUUUUUUUUUCUUAUUUUUAUACUUGAUCAAACU
rnacentral:lncRNA from 1 species